rnacentral:rRNA from 1 species
UGGUUGUCGUCAGCUCGUGCCGUGAGGUGUCGGGUUAAGUCCCAUAACGAGCGCAACCCCUACCUUUAGUUGCCAUCAGGUUAAGCUGGGGACUCUAAAGGAACUGCCUACGCAAGUAGUGAGGAAGCGGGGAUGACGUCAAAUCAGCACGGCCCUUACGUCCAGGGCUACACACGUGCUACAAUGGCCGAUACAGAGGGCAGCUACCUGGUGACAGGAUGCAAAUCUCCAAAGUCGGUCUCAGUUCGGAUCGGAGUCUGCAACCCGACUCCGUGAAGUUGGAUUCGCUAGUAAUCGCGCAUCAGCCAUGGCGCGGUGAAUACGUUCCCGGGCCUU